GACGAACGCUGGCGGCGUGCUUAACACAUGCAAGUCGAACGGAAAGGCCCUGCUUUUGUGGGGUGCUCGAGUGGCGAACGGGUGAGUAACACGUGAGUAACCUGCCCUUGACUUUGGGAUAACUUCAGGAAACUGGGGCUAAUACCGGAUAGGAGCUCCUGCUGCAUGGUGGGGGUUGGAAAGUUUCGGCGGUUGGGGAUGGACUCGCGGCUUAUCAGCUUGUUGGUGGGGUAGUGGCUUACCAAGGCUUUGACGGGUAGCCGGCCUGAGAGGGUGACCGGCCACAUUGGGACUGAGAUACGGCCCAGACUCCUUCGGGAGGCAGCAGUGGGGAAUAUUGCACAAUGGGCGGAAGCCUGAUGCAGCAACGCCGCGUGCGGGAUGACGGCCUUCGGGUUGUAAACCGCUUUCGCCUGUGACGAGGCGUGAGUGACGGUAAUGGGUAAAGAAGCACCGGCUAACUACGUG
rnacentral:rRNA from 1 species